rnacentral:rRNA from 1 species
GAUGAACGCUAGCUACAGGCUUAACACAUGCAAGUCGAGGGGUAACGAGAGGAAAGCUUGCUUUCCUUGUCGACGACCGGCGCACGGGUGAGUAACGCGUAUCCAACCUGCCCCCAACUAGGGAAUAACCUUGCGAAAGUAAGACUAAUACCCUAUAAUUUCCUCAGAUGUCAUCUGACGAGGAAUAAAGAUUUAUCGGUUGUGGAUGGGGAUGCGUCUGAUUAGCUUGUUGGCGGGGUAACGGCCCACCAAGGCAACGAUCAGUAGGGGUUCUGAGAGGAAGGUCCACCACAUUGGAACUGAGACACGGUCCAAACUCCUACGGGAGGCAGCAGUGAGGAAUAUUGGUCAAUGGGCGGAAGCCUGAACCAGCCAAGUAGCGUGCAGGAUGACGGCCCUAUGGGUUGUAAACUGCUUUUAUACAGGAAUAAAGUUAGCCACGUGUGGUUAUUUGUAGGUACUGUAUGAAUAAGGACCGGCUAAUUCCGUGACAGCAGCCGCAGUAA